CUUUUCGAAUUACAUAAACACCCA
rnacentral:siRNA from 1 species